CUCUUACCUCAUAUAUGGCCCGUUUUGCUGAAGUACCGUGGUUCUUGAUGGUCUUCACCGCCACCGUCUUGUUGUCAGUAGUCUUCCGGCAUUUGACAACAUUACCGAAGGCGCCUCGUCCCAGAACUGAAAGCACGUCGUAGCCGGAUGAUUUGGAGUGAAUUCGGGCUCCGGGAGAAAACUGAUUGUCCUCGGAGCCAGAGGAGUCCAUCCUUGGGGGGACCGGGUGGUGGUGGUGGAGGUGGUGGUCCGACUGUACGCCCGGCUCUUCUGACGAGGACAUGGACGCCCCAGUCAACUCGCCUCGGAGGUUCUCCACCCGUAGAAGACGCAUUCUAGUAAAUAUACCGUGGGUGUAGCUUUAUCUUUCAGAUGCUUUAUGACACCAUGGUUCGUACCGCCACGUAUUAUAAUCGUAAAGGACACGGGAAGGUGUGUCCAGAAGGGUCCUCAAAGUCCACCCUACUCCCCGCUCUCUGUCCACCUGAGCACGCAUGACGUAACACUCGUAGUCGGGCUUCUCCUUUGCUAACUGUCUGUGACGAACCCCGAGACUUUUUCCUUAUGGAUUCGGCACAGCGGAUCUUGUUUUGAUCCGCAUACUGAAAUUGGACAAUAUGGGAACUUUAAACCAGUCCAGGGAGUACACCGCCUCACGCCUGAAGACAGCUGGGAUAGGCUUAGCAUCACCCCAGUGAUGACAAGCAGUACAGAAAAUGGAUGGAUGGAUGGGACAUAUCCUCCCAAAAUCACCACAAGUUAAGCACGUACAAACUAUAAUUUCUUUACAAUCUGAUAGGCCUACCUGCAGGAACACUAAAAUGCUGUGAACAUUCUUACUUUCGAAAUGAAACCACAAAUGGGAAUGAUAUACAGUAAACAGCAGUUGUCCUCAAUAGGCAGGCCACAUGACCCAAAUAAUGAAACCACUUAGUCUCACAGAAAAGUGCUCAUUUAUGCAAUACUUCUUCUGCAAGUGGCUUUUUCGCGCAGUGGGGACAAGUGGAUGGGGAUUCAAACCCUGUGGGUUAUAUUAAAAGAGGUACUAUCCGGCCCAAAUUCUGUUCUCCCUUGUACGAAUGUAAUUGAGGACCCCUGGUAUUCAGAAUUAUUGGGUGGCAUGUAAUAGUCUAGUCGUCACAGGGUGGUCAAACAAGCACAGUUGUAGUGAGAUGUCAUUUGGCACGAGAUGCAGUUAGCUAAUUAAUUUAUGCUGAAAAUUUGGGGUAGAAAUGUUCCCAGUUGGUGUAUUAUUUAAUAAUAUUGGGCGUGUCCUGUCAUGUUAUUAAUACACUGAGUCGAGUUUGUGAGUCGAGCUGUGGUUGUAUUGCAAAGCAUCCCUCUUUGCAGCCUAUUUGCUUGGAAACCGGAACUGGAAGCCAUUGUUACCCAACUCCGUCACUUAUUUUGACACUAUAGUUCUUUGCAAACUAAUACAUUUACAGUAUGCCACAACUCUCUGAUCAAGAAGGUGAGAAAUACAAUUGAAUUAAAGAAAUAACUUGUAGCAUAACAUAAAUGUGGUACAUGGUACAUGUGGAUCUCUCAGUGUCAUUUCUGUCAACAGUUAAGUCUUCAUUCAAGGUAAAAAAAUUAUAUUAAAUGUUCAUUUCUUUAUGCAAAACUAUAUGAGUCACCCAUAUUUGUAAAACUAUUUACAAAAAAGGGUUUUCUGUGAACAUCAGGGUGUCUGAAACAGAUUGAUUUGAGAUGCAUUAUUUCUUAAUGUAAAAACUGAUUCAGUUUGUGUAUGUUUUGGUUUGAGUCAGGCCUUUUAGAAUGGAAUAAUGAUGCUAACCGAGGCUCCACUGUAUGGUUUUCCACAGCAAAUAACAUGGCAUAAAAUACAAACCCAUUUUCUAACACAUCGUUUCACCCAAGACAAUUAUUUAAUGUAAAAAAAAAAAAUGUUUUUAUUUUUCUGGGUCUGUGGCAGUUAUAGGACAGUAAAAUACAGAAAAGCCAGUAAAAACUGAACUGUCUUUUGCGCGGAAAUAAAAACAAUGGCCAAACAUCAAUUUAGACCAAAGACGUUGAAACGGCUUCUCUCACCAUUACUAUAUUCCUUUUAACCCCUGGACUAAUGUCAUUCGGGGUCAGUUUUUUAUUUGUUGUUUUCCCCGUCAGAGCAUGAUUUCAUCAGGGCACUGGGCUGAGUGGUCUGUCACUACAAGACUAAGUAUAUGUAUUGAUUUAUUGCUUGGUUUUAUUUAUUGUCUUAUUGUGUAUAUGGCUUGUGCAGCACUAUGGUCAACCCUGCUUGUUUGAAAAUGCGCUAUAUCAAUCAAUACAUUUUGACUUGACUAGCA